AGCCGGUCAUUGCAGCGCACGCGCACGCGGAACAGCGUCCACACUGCGUGCCCGCCCGUGCCUCUUUAUUUUGCGCUGAAGAAUGCGGGAGCGCGCGCACGCAGCCGCAGAGCACACGCGCACACAACUGCCGGUCAAGAAACCCAUCCAGCACACAGGUAGUGUGUAAAGCAUACACGCGCGCGCGCACGACUCUCAUCCCUCUCCCCUCUUCCUUAUCCGCUUUACAUAGACAUACACUUGAGAGCUUCGCUGGCGCACUCCGGCAACUCCUCUAGGCGGUUUGUCGAGGCUCUUUUCCGUUUCCUUCCGCACGUCUAUUCUUUGGUUGCUCGUCUCCAUCCCUUUCGCUCACGCGCCCAAUCGUCUGUGCCUCUUUCCCGCUCUGGCACUCGCGCACCGAUGAGCUUCACAGAAGAGUUUGAUGGCGCCAUCGGCAUCGAUCUCGGCACGACGUACUCGUGCGCCGCCGUCUUCGUGCGCGGGCAGGUGGAGGUGAUCCCGAACGACAUGGGCAACCGCACCACACCAUCGUGCGUGGCCUUCUACAACGAUGACGUGCUCGUCGGCGACGCUGCCAAGACGCUGCUCGGUCGCGGCGUCUCUGGCGUUGUGUUCGAUGCGAAGCGCAUGAUUGGCCACCGCUUCAGCGACAAGAGUAUUCAAGAGGACCGCACCCGCUGGCCGUUCCCAAUCUCAGAGGGUGUAAAGGACAGUAUUCAGAUCAACGUGACGCACAAGGGCGAGGAGCUGCAGCUGGCACCGGAGCAGAUCUCUGCCAAGGUGCUAGUCUACUUGAAGGAGUGCGCCGAGCGGUACCUGGGCAAGCAGGUGAAGAAGGCCGUGGUGACGGUGCCGGCGUACUUCAACGAUGCGCAGCGCGAGCGUACCAAGGCGGCGGCAACGAUUGCUGGCCUGGAGGUGCUGCGCAUCAUCAACGAGCCGACGGCGGCGGCGCUGUGCUACGGCCUCGGCGUCGGCAGUGGCACAGGGCAACAGCAGGGCGAGGACCAGCCGCGCAAUGUCGUCGUCUUCGACUUCGGCGGCGGCACGUUUGACGUGUCCGUCAUCGUCAUCGACAGCGGGAGCUUCGCGGUGCAGGCGACCGCCGGCGACACCCACCUGGGCGGGCAGGACAUUGACUCGAACCUUCUCAAGUAUGUGCUGGACGAUUUGCAGUCGCGAUACAACCUCAGCAUCGCUGAGCAGCCGCGUCUGCUCGCGAAGGCCCGCACAGCGUGCGAACGGGUGAAGCGGGUUCUGUCGCAGUCAACCGCCGAGGAACUCGCCCUGGAUGGCGUGCUGCCGAGCGGCGAGGAGUAUACGCUGUCUGUCUCCCGCGCAAAGCUGGAGGAGCUGAACGCGUCUGUAUUUGCGCAGUGCAUGAAGGUGGUGAAGCGCGCCCUGCAGGAUGCAGCGAUGAAGGUGGAAGACGUUCAUGAGGUCGUGCUCGUCGGCGGCAGCUCGCGCAUCCCGAAGCUGCACGACAUGCUUCGCGCCUUUUUCAACAAAGAGAGACUGUGCAACUCGGUGCACCCGGACGAGGCGGUGGCCAUCGGCGCCGCGGUGCAGGCCAGCAUCCUCGCCAACUCGGCUGAGCAACAGUCCGAGAAGACGGCCAACGUCGUGCUCAUGGAUGUGGUGCCGCUGAGCAUCGGCGUAGAGAUCGACGAUGGCAAGUUCGACGUCAUCGUCCCCCGCAAUACGACCAUCCCGUACAAGGCGACGAAGGAGUACAGCACCGUCGAGGAUUACCAGCAAGACGUUGACGUGUGCGUGUACGAGGGAGAGCGGCCGCUGACAAAGCACAACCACAAGCUGGGCGAGUUCACACUCGAGGGCAUCACCCGUGCCAAGAAGGGCAAGCCCACCAUCACGGUGACUUUCUCCAUCGACGCGAACGGCCUUCUCACCAUCACCGGCACGGAGGAGUUGGCCAACAAGAGACACACGCUCGUCGUGCAGAACGCCGACCGGCUCUCCGAGGCGCAGGUGAAGGAGAUGAUCGAUAUGUCGAAAAAGUUUGCCAAGAGCGAUGCUGUGGACGACGCCAGAGAAGCAGCGCGACGGACGGUGCAGGGCGCACUCGAGGCUCUCUCCGCUGCCAUCGCCGCGAUGACGCAGCCGCCGCCGUCACAGCUGCAGAAGCGGCUUGACGCCUUUACUUCGCAUACGCGUGACUGGCUCGAGCGGCAGCUGCCCUCCUACUCGACCGUCACCGAGGUGGAGGAAAAAGCAAAGAAGAUCGCAAAACUUGCCAGGAAAGCGAUGAAGAAGGUGGCGAAGAAAGCGCGCGGCGGUGAGCCAGCCUCGAAGCGCCACCGCGACGAGGGAAACGGCGGCAACGAGUCCUCCAGCGACAGCGACGUAGAAAACGAGGCGGACAAGUGAGGAGGUGUUAGAGUCGCCGUGGCCGUGGCCGGCGCUUCGUAUCUUUUUGCCGCUUCGCCUCAAACACACACACACACACACACACACCUUGUUACUCGCCCGCUUCGGUCUUCUUUGUGUUGUCUCGCUCUCUCGUGCGCGCGUGUAGCAUCUUCCUAUGCCUGUCCCUCUCUCACGCACACGCGCACGCGCAAGUGAACAAGGAUGACAUACGGCAUGUGUCGUCGUCGUAGUCUCUCUUUCUAUGCCCUUCUCACCGAGUCUUGUCAUGUGGAGGUGAAACCGCACAGGUGUGUGGAAGUGUGCACGCGUUGAACCGCUGCCACGGAAAGACCAUCCCCAGCUCCUGUGCCGCCCCUUCUCUCUCUUCGACGUCUCUGCUCACAAGCGUAGAAGCGCAGCACUCCCUUCUCCUCCAUCCUCCCCCAUGCCUCGUUCCUCCCCCCUCCUCACCACAAACUAUGUUGAUGCGCCCGCUCAUAUGAGCAUGCACCAACACCCGCACACGCAUACACGUUGGCUGCGACUCUCUCCAUCUCUCCUCGCAG
rnacentral:misc_RNA from 1 species